UGCAUAGCCUUUCAAAUUCAAACUUCAAUCUUCUUCGCAUCGUGCGGCAGAGCCCGACUCUUGACAGAAAAAAAAAUCAGAAACCUAGUCACUUUCGACUUAACAGUUGUAAAUUAUAUUAUCAAAUAAUUUAAAAUCGCUCAGAUAUUAGUCGGUGACUGAACAAAAAUUUGCGUUUCGAAUUCAAAUCGACGCGCUAACAAGACCAAGGAAAAGAUAACUAAAGCGUCGCUUCGUGUGUGUUAAUUGUAUAUUUGUUUAAAAACCCAGUCAAAAUGGUCGGCCCAAAGAAAAUGCGCGUGGAUGAGGUAAGUUUUGUUGCAUGCGAAGAUAUCGAUAGGUGAUACCCCAUAGAAGCGGUGUGGAGGAAAGAAGUUUGAACAGAGUGGCAAGGCCAAAAUUUAAGGGGAAAAGGUUAGCGAAGAGUGGCGCCACCUGGACCUGCAGAGUAAGAGUUCCGCGCGCUCUCCGGAGCCUUUAUGAGAGAAGAUUUCCGAUCUCAUCCCAUAACGGAGUCCCGAAGCCAACUCACCCAUACCCCAAAGAAAAGAGAGCCGCCAGCAGCCCGAAUCAGGCCAUGCCCUUGAACCUAGUUCAAGGGCGAUAGAAGAGAGCGAUGGGGAUCAGCGGCCCGGGAGCAUUAAACAGAGCAGCUAAGCCAAGAGGGGGUUCAGAGAAAGAAAUUCCCGCAACGGAGGAGCAUGCGCGCCGGACAUAGUGAUCUAGUGAUUUUUUUUUGUUCUGAAAGAAAAAGGGAUUCAGAUCAGUGAGAGACCAGGAACCAGGACUAGCGGGACGGGAAAGAGACCCAAGAGCAUAAGAGGAAUAGGUCACAGCUCCGCCAUCCUGGCUUGCUUUUUGCUGGGCUCGAAGGCACAAUCCUAGCCACGUAGAGCGGGUCCCUCGCCCAUUUAGGGAGAAAAAAAAGCAUCAAUUAACUUAUUUACUCCCAUUAUUUAUUUUUGUUAGACGUCUCCAUUUAUAUGUAUAUGUUAAUCCCCUAAUUUAAGUCCGCCCAUAUUA